AGAAAUGCGACGACGGGAAAAAAGACGGCGCGUGUCCCUCUUCAGAGAGCCGGUGGUUGGUGCGAACCGGUGUGCGGCCCCUCCGUGUAUAACUGGUCCCUGAGCAGUCUGCCUGAACAACAGUAAGGUGGGACGGUUGGCUUCGUUAUCAGCCGCGGCCUUGUUGGAGGCUUUGAGGGCCGUUCGGGCAACCGGCGGCUGAACCAGGGUGGUACCGCGUUAGUAUAACGCCCCUGAC
rnacentral:ncRNA from 1 species